UACGUAGGGUGCAAGCGUUAUCCGGAAUUAUUGGGCGUAAAGAGCUCGUAGGCGGUUUUGUCGCGUCUGCUGUGAAAACCCGAGGCUCAACCUCGGGCCUGCAGUGGGUACGGGCAGACUAGAGUGCGGUAGGGGAGAUUGGAAUUCCUGGUGUAGCGGUGGAAUGCGCAGAUAUCAGGAGGAACACCGAUGGCGAAGGCAGAUCUCUGGGCCGUAACUGACGCUGAGGAGCGAAAAGCGUGGGGGAGCGAAACAGG
rnacentral:rRNA from 1 species